GAAGGUGGGGUCUGCCGGACGCGUGUUCCUGCCACCAGGUGCCGCUCCCCGCGAGGCCGGCUCAGGAGCAGGUAGAAUUUAAACAAUUGAAAAAAAUCCCUUCCCAAUCAGAAUACCAUCCACAGGACAACGAAGAAAACCCAUCUUCAGUCCCCAACCACGAAAUGGUGGGGGGUGGGGAGGACUGGAAAAGGAGUAAGGGGAGAGGAAGGGUGAGCAGCUGCAAGGUUCCUGGUAAACGCGCUCACGUCCUGGAAGGAAGCCCGGUGCCAGCCAGCCUUCCUGAAAAGACCAAGCCCGCGCCAUCCGGCUUCCUCCAGUGGACGCCUGCAGGACCCAGGUGAGAUACGGGACUGGUUGGGGACGCGAGGGGCGGAGGGCGGCGACCAAGGGAUCCUGACUUGGGGGCGUUGCCUCCCGGAAUCCAAGCGGCCUUUUGCCCGGGUCUCCCGAGAUGCAUCGAAAUUGAGCUAGUCCACAUAGCCCCCCGACUGCGUGGUGCCCUUUUCUGACUUAAAACAUUCCUUGUACCUUUAUUUACACGAUCCAAGUUGCAGUGUGCCUAGAUUUUCCUCCAAGGACAAAAAUGUGAAUAAAGCAAUAUUUUAGCCAAA